rnacentral:lncRNA from 1 species
UGGCCCGGUCUUUGCCUAUCCUAAGCCCGAGGGUGGAAAAGACAGGGAGGUGGGGGCAGAGUGGCGCCCCCUUUCCACUGCUCAGUGCAGUCUGAGGGGCUCUGUCAGCUUGAUGGGUUCAAACUUCACCUCUGCCGCUUCUAGCUGUGUGGCCUUGAGGAAGUGACUUACUCUCAGCCUCAGUUUCCUCUUCUGUUAAAUGGAAAUCCCAUCAGAAUGCUCAGCCACGAGGUUGGUGCAAGGAUUCAGUGAGAGAAUGCACAGAAAGCCCUUGGCCGGGUGCCCGGCCCGGCGGAGGCUCUCGAGCAAUGCCAGCCGCGGUCAGUUUUAUUUGGUGACACACUCACGGAGUGCACACUCACUGUGGUGGCGUGGUGGGGCCGCCUGGAGGACACACGUCUGUCUCCGUGUGACGCUGGCCAGGCCCACGACUCUCAGCGAGGCAGUCUGUGCAGUGAGGGCCCUUUGGGGAGGUUCCGGACGGGAGCUGGUGCCUUCUUCCCACGCCGCCCAGACGCUGGGGACCGUCUGACCACUGUCUCCUUCCAAUCUCCUACGAUGACACGACUGGUGUUGGGGCUGGAUUGCCGACUGCUGAAGUUCAGAUUCUCAGACUCUUCCUUGGCGUCUCCUGUGUGCCUCAUCCUGUUCUGGGCAUACUCACCUGGUUCUCAUCAUCUCCCAAUGAAGUUUGCAUUAUGUGCAUUGUUUACAGGUGGGUAAACUGAGGGCAGUGGUUAAGCAACUUCACUGUGGCCUCAUGUAGUAGAGAUAGGAUUUGAGAGGAUGUAUCUGAUCCCAUGAGUCCAGCUGUGUUCUCAGUGGCCUGCAGCUGCUUCUGCCUUUAAGCCCUUUGAUUAUGGUCUUCGGUGGCCCCAGCCUGCCACUAAUCUCCUUCUCCAUCUACUCUUCCACGUCACCUUCUGCUCCCAAGGACAUCAGGACAGACGCCUUGCUUUCUUUGUGUUCCCGGUCACUGUGCUGUGCCAGUUGUAGAGUAAAUGAGAAGCUCCGCAGGGACAGCUUGAGACAGGGGAGCCCAGAGGUGGGCACUGACUCACGCCUCCCUCCCUCCUGCAAUGGCUUCCUGCCGUGAGUCAGGAGACCAUGCCUUGCUGUGACACUGUAACUCCCGAAACCCGCAGAACCAGGGCCCAGUUCUUUGGGAAAAGUUGACAUAUCCUAGGAUUGUGUUGCUCUAAAUACAACUCUUUCCCAGAAGCACAGGAAUGGUGUUGGAACAGCAAUGGAAUCGGAAGAGUCUUUUUUAGAAGAGUCUUAAAGGUCUUUGGGACAAUAAUGCUUCGCUGGCACCAGCCAAUCUUCCACUGUUUUCUUUUUGGCUAGACUCAGGAUGUCAAUGGUUAUGGUAAACAGUUAUUUUAUCAACGGUGUGUAAAAUGAAAGGAACGCGUGCACCAUCUCAUUAUUUCUCGUAAGGACCCUAGGAUGUGAGGUGUGAUUAUUACUCUCUUUGACAGAGGCAGAAACGGAGUCUCAGUGAGCUAAAGCAACUUGCCUGAGGAUACAGAGCUGAUAAAUGUUGGAACUCAAAUCCCAGCUCUCACCUGAGGCUGGUGGACCUCCUACCUCUGCAGUCACUUCUCCAACCAGGUGCUGGAGGACACGGAGCAUAGGCAGUGGGUAGGUAAGGAAGGCUUAGUUACAGGGGCUCCUCGGAGAGGGGCACUGUGGCCAGGAAGCUCAGGAUGCUGCAGAGACAACUGGUCUUGGCAUCAGAAACCUGAGUUGAGAUUCUGGCUCUAUCACCUCCCAGCUGUGUGUCCUUGCUCGUGUUCCCUACUCUCUCGGUGCCUUCAUUUCCUCAGCUGUGAAAAGGAAGAAUAAUUAAACUUUCCUCCCUACCCUGCUCUGAGAAGUGAGAUGCUAUUUGUGAAUGUACUUUGAAGCCAUGAAGCACUUGUUGAUGUAUUAUUAUCCAUUCCCAGAAUAUUAGAAGACUCCAGAACUGCAGCAGGGAGAGGGGAGGGGAGGGAGGAGAGUGCUGGAUUGGGCUUGCUCUGAGAAGAAGGAGACAGGUGAAUGUCUUGCUCAGCCAACCUCAUAUGACAAGAGAAGCCUGCUAACUAGGUCAUCUUGCAAUAGGAAAGAGCUAUUCCGGGAUCUGCCUGCUGGUACAGAGCAGGAGCUGGGAGCCGUGGAGCUGGGCUAUUUCAGGGGCAGCACAGAAAGCUCUUCCAGCAGCUUUAUCUUGGAUCUCAGCCCUGCCUUUGUGCCUUGGGCUUUAAGGAACCAGAAGCCUUAAGUGAGCACUAUGCUGGUGCUCUCCGCAUGGCUGCCUGGGACCCCUGGACCAUGCUCCCAGGCAGCUUGUGUGAGGACAGCAAGUCACUACACUUGCUCUUCCCACCCUGCUAGGAGACUCUCCCCCU